CAUAAUUCCAGCUAUGGUGGAAUAAUGGCCAUUCUGUAUUAUCUCUGGUUAAAUUCUCCAAUCUGACUCUGGACUCUUCAAACCUCUCUUCCAGCAGGACAAGCUCCUAGCACCCAAGACAGUGCAGGGGAGAAAUCAGUAGGAAAGAACAGUGUUGUGUGCAAAUUGAAGUGGUUGGAAAAUCUAUUGGUCGUGCACAUUUUAAAAACUCUUUGUGAAAUAAAGUGUUGGACUCAGACUUCCAAGUGGCCACCAGUCUGGAGCAAAGUAUAUUGAGAAGUAAAAUGGUUUGUUUCUUCAACUGCUCAUCCCCUUUUGACAUCUGUUCCCUUGGAGGAUGCCAGUGCCCCAGGACCUGGUGCUGGAGAUAACGGCAGCUGGAGCUCACCAGCUUCUUGGACUCACAAAGAUCCUCAUUGCUCUGGGCCUGGUUUGCUGCCUGUCAUUCCUCAGGAGUUCCCUGGUCUACGGAGCCCAAGCUGUGCCAUUUAUAUCAGCACAACUCAGAAGAAGGUAAACGUGAAAUAAUAAUAGAUUUAACCUUGGAGACUGAACUACAGCGGAGGAGACCAGACUCUGAGCAUCCCGCAUCUACCCUUUUGAUCUUAUUAUUAUGUGACACAGAAGGAGAAGAAGGUUCUGCUGCUAGGGAAAAACAGAUCAUGGAUGGGAAGGAGUGGUCCGUAAAUUCCAAGUUUCAAACCGUCCUUAAAUUCCUAGCUGCAUCAGAAUCACAUAAAUUCUGAACCCUCUUCUAGACCUACUAUGUUCAAAUUUGGGUGGGUCAAACUGCAUCAUUUCAAUAACCACAGGAUACGUCUAAAGGAAAAAAAAAAUGACAGUGACUCUGCUCACAUGGUAAAACCCCUGACUUCCAACCCAUCUUGAGUAUUCUACUUGGACAACCAGUCGCAAUUUUCAAAGGAUCUGACAUAUAUAACUUACCUUCCUGGAAAGAGUUAAAAAUCCCUGUCAUAAUUUAUGGCAAUAGAAUACGCAAAUUCAACAUAAUAUUUUCAGUGCUACUCAGAGAAUUACAUUAAAAGAGCUACAUUUAGGGCCACCUGGGUGGCUCAGUGGGUUGAGUGGGUUUUUUUUUUUUUUAAUCGGUAUUUCCAUCAACAAUGUGUCAGAGCACUUGAUCUGUUGUGUGUUAUUCUUUGACCUCUCAUAUGUUGCAAAUAUUUUUUGACCUUAACAUUUGUUUUACGUUUGUUUGUAGAGGAUUUGGGGAGAUGUUUUACUUUUUAACGUAGUCAGAUUCUUCAGUUAUCUCUUUGUAAUGUCUUUGUUUUGACUCUUAGAAAGAUGAUCCCCACUGAGGACUCAUAUUAAAAUGUACCUAUUUUUGUAGUCAUUUCUGUUCUUUGUUUUAAAGUUUAUUUAUUUUGAGAGAGACAGCCAAGUAGGGGAUGGGCAGAGGGAGAGAGAGAGAAUCCCAAGCAGGCUCUGUGCUGGUAGCACAGAGCCCAAAGCGGGGCUCGAACCCACAAAGCCGUGAGAUCAUGACCUGAGCCGAUACCAAGAAGGGUUGCCUAAUGACUGGGGCCCCAAGGCGCCCUUGUAGUCACUUCUUAUAUUCACUCUCCCCUAGCUGGAAUUUAUCUGAGCACAUAGCAGGAAGUUAAAAUUCAACAUGAGCUUUCCCUUAAAAUGGUAAGCAAUUCUUCUAGCAUAAUUUAUUGUAUAAUUCUUCCUUUGCCACUCACUUUUGGUGCUAAUUUUAUACACACACACUCAUAGUAAGGUCUUUUUUUUUUAAUGUUUAUUUUUUGAGACAGAGAGAGACAGAGACAGGGCAUGAGCAGGGGAGGGGCAGAGAGAGGGAGACACGGGAUGUGAAGCAGGCUCACAGCUGUCAGCACAGAGCCCGAUACAGGACCUGAACUCACAAAUUGAGAGAUCGUGACCCGAGCCGAAGUUGGACGCUCAACUGAUGGAGCCCCCCAGGCACCCCAGUAAGGUCUUAUUCUUGUACAUAUUUAGUUUCAUUGAUCUAUUAUACCGGAACUAUAUUAUUUUAAUUAUUGCAAAUUUUGAUUUAUUUUUUUAAGAUUUUAUUUUAGUUUAUUAAAAUGAUUUUUCAUGUCUAUUUUUGAGAGAGACUUCAGCUCAGAUCAUGAUCUCAUGGUUGAUGACUUUGAACCCCACAUCAGGCUUUGUGCUAUCAGAGCAGAACCUGUUUUGGAUUGUCUGUCCCCCCACCUCUCUCUCAAAAAAUAAAUAAAUAAACUUAAAAAAAAGUUACA
rnacentral:lncRNA from 1 species